rnacentral:rRNA from 1 species
UACGGGAGGCAGCAGUGGGGAAUAUUGGACAAUGGGCGGAAGCCUGAUCCAGCCAUGCCGCGUGUGUGAAGAAGGCCUUUUGGUUGUAAAGCACUUUAAGCGAGGAGGAGGCUCUCCUAGUUAAUACCUAGGAAGAGUGGACGUUACUCGCAGAAUAAGCACCGGCUAACUCUGUGCCAGCAGCCGCGGUAAUACAGAGGGUGCGAGCGUUAAUCGGAUUUACUGGGCGUAAAGCGUGCGUAGGCGGCUGAUUAAGUCGGAUGUGAAAUCCCUGAGCUUAACUUGGAAUUGCAUUCGAUACUGGUCAGCUAGAGUAUGGGAGAGGAUGGUAGAAUUCCAGGUGUAGCGGUGAAAUGCGUAGAGAUCUGGAGGAAUACCGAUGGGCGAAGGGCAGCCAUCUGGGCCUAAUACUGACGCUGAGGUACGAAAGCAUGGGGAAGGCAAACAGGAUUAGAUACC